rnacentral:rRNA from 1 species
AGGAUGAAUGCUGGCGGCGCGCCUAACGACAUGCAAGUCGAGCGGAAAGGCCCUUCGGGGUACUCGAGCGGCGGACGGCUGAGUAACGCGUGGGAACAUGCCCCAAAGUGAGGAAUAACUGCCCGAAAGGGUAGCUAAUGCCGCAUAUGAUCUUAGGAUUAAAGGAUUUAUCCGCUUUGGGAGUGGCCCGCGUACGAUUAGGUAGUUGGUGAGGUAAAGGCUCACCAAGCCCACGAUCGUUAACUGGUCUGAGAGGAUGAUCAGUCAGACUGGAACUGAGACACGGUCCAGACUCCUACGGGAGGCAGCAGUGAGGAAUCUUCCACAAUGGGCGAAAGCCUGAUGGAGCGACGCCGCGUGCAGGAUGAAGGCCUUCGGGUUGUAAACUGCUUUUAUAAGUGAAGAUAUGACGGUAACUUAUGAAUAAGCACCGGCUAACUACGCGCCAGCAGCCGC